AACAUUGAAACACCUCUCCCCGUACGAACAACGAAGUUAAUCAACGUCAAACCUAGUCAGUACCUUGAUGGGUGACCGCUUGGGAAUCCAUGUGC